rnacentral:tRNA from 1 species
GGGGACGGUAGCGCAGAGGUCGACGCGCCCUCUCGGCGGGAGGGGAUGACGCCGGUUCGAAUCCGGUCCGCCCCCG